rnacentral:rRNA from 1 species
CUACGGGAUGCUGCAGUGAGGAAUAUUGCACAAUGGGGGGAACCCUGAUGCAGCAACGCCGCGUGGAGGAUGACGCAUUUCGGUGUGUAAACUCCUUUUAUAUGUCAAGAAAAUGACGGUAGCAUAUGAAUAAGCACCGGCUAACUCCGUGCCAGCAGCUGCGGUAAUACGGAGGGUGCAAGCGUUACUCGGAAUCACUGGGCGUAAAGGACGCGUAGGCGGGUUGGAAAGUCAGGUGUGAAAUCCUACAGCUUAACUGUAGAACUGCACUUGAAACUUCUAAUCUAGAGUAUGGGAGGGGGAGAUGGAAUUAGUGGUGUAGGGGUAAUAUCCGUAGAUAUCACUAGGAAUACCUAAAGCGAAGGCGAUCUCCUGGAACAUUACUGACGCUAAGGCGUGAAAGCGUGGGGAGCAAACAGGAUUAGAUACCCCAGUAGUC